GUUCCGAAGCCGAAACCUUGCCGUAUUUUGCCACAAUUUACGUUAAGAAAAGGAAAAUUGAAGGGUAGAUUAAAAGAGGAGUUAUCACCCGGGACAGGUUCGUCUGUUUAACAGUCUACUGGCCCAGUGAAAACUUAGUAGGUGACAUCCGUUAAAACUAAAAUCAGGUUAAUGACUCAGCCAUUAGUCUUGUAAAUGGUUGGUAAAUGGUUUAUCAAUCAGAUUGGAAGGCACAGUGUAAAAGAGGACAUUUUAUCACCAGCUUCUGAAAAUGUGUCUUCAAUUUUGUCUUCAUGUAUGAUCAUUGACAACAAAAGAAAGGAUCUUGCAAUGCUGUGGCAAAGUUUACUUCCAAACAACUAGCAUGGAAGAACUGUCCACAUCUCUCGCAGCCAAGCCAGUCUUCAUUGUCAUCCAUGUGAAACACCUUGAAAACAAGAACAUCCCUUCCACUGUCAAAAAGUGAAGUUAAAGUCCAAAAUAAUUGCUUAAUUCUCAAUUUGUUAUUUGGGAUUAAAAACAAUACACAGGGGUGAUUGUAAUAAUAAGAAAAGCAUAAUUAUUGUACCUCAAAAUGUCACUGUAACAGCUGCCAGGAAGGUUGGAUAGAAGCUUCAUUCUCUCAAUAGAAUCAUUGACCUUUCUGAUUGGUCUGUUAUCACACAAGUUCCUGGCAAACUAAAGAUAGAUCUUACAGUUAUAUUAUAUAUGAUGUAAGGUUGGUUGAUGU